rnacentral:rRNA from 1 species
UGCAAGUCGAACGGUAGCACAGAGAGCUUGCUCUCGGGUGACGAGUGGCGGACGGGUGAGUAAUGUCUGGGAAACUGCCUGAUGGAGGGGGAUAACUACUGGAAACGGUAGCUAAUACCGCAUAACGUCGCAAGACCAAAGAGGGGGACCUUCGGGCCUCUUGCCAUCAGAUGUGCCCAGAUGGGAUUAUCUAGUAGGUGGGGUAACGGCUCACCUAGGCGACGAUCCCUAUCUGGUCUGAGAGGAUGACCAGCCACACUGGAACUGAGACACGGUCCAGACUCCUACGGGAGGCAGCAGUGGGGAAUAUUGCACAAUGGGCGCAAGCCUGAUGCAGCCAUGCCGCGUGUAUGAAAAAGGCCUUCGGGUUGUAAAGUACUUUCAGCGGGGAGGAAGGUGUUGUGGUUAAUAACCGCAGCAAUUGACGUUACCCGCAGAAAAAGCACCGGCUAACUCCGUGCCAGCAGCCGCGGUAAUACGGAGGGUGCAAGCGUUAAUCGGAAUUACUGGGCGUAAAGCGCACGCAGGCGGUCUGUCAAGUCGGAUGUGAAAUCCCCGGGCUCAACCUGGGAACUGCAUUCGAAACUGGCAGGCUAUAGUCUUGUAGAGGGGGGUAGAAUUCCAGGUGUAGCGGUGAAAUGCGUAGAGAUCUGGAGGAAUACCGGUGGCGAAGGCGGCCCCCUGGACAAAGACUGACGCUCAGGUGCGAAAGCGUGGGGAGCAAACAGGAUUAUAUACCCUGGUAGUCCACGCCGUAAACGAUGAUCGUAC